CGGACGGGUGAGUAACGCGUGAGGAACCUGCCUUUCAGAGGGGGACAACAGUUGGAAACGACUGCUAAUACCGCAUAACAUAUGUUUGUCGCAUGGCAGAUAUAUCAAAGAUUUAUCGCUGAGAGAUGGCCUCGCGUCUGAUUAGCUAGUUGGUAGGGUAACGGCCUACCAAGGCGACGAUCAGUAGCCGGACUGAGAGGUUGGCCGGCCACAUUGGGACUGAGAUACGGCCCAGACUCCUACGGGAGGCAGCAGUGGGGAAUAUUGGGCAAUGGGCGCAAGCCUGACCCAGCAACGCCGCGUGAAGGAAGAAGGCUUUCGGGUUGUAAACUUCUUUUAAGAGGGAAGAGCAGAAGACGGUACCUCUUGAAUAAGCUCCGGCUAACUACGUGCCAGCAGCCGCGGUAAUACGUAGGGAGCGAGCGUUGUCCGGAUUUACUGGGUGUAAAGGGCGUGCAGCCGGGAGUACAAGUCAGAUGUGAAAUCCCGCGGCUCAACCGCGGAACUGCAUUUGAAACUGUAUUUCUUGAGUACUGGAGAGGCAGACGGAAUUCCUAGUGUAGCGGUGAAAUGCGUAGAUAUUAGGAGGAACACCAGUGGCGAAGGCGGUCUGCUGGACAGCAACUGACGGUGAGGCGCGAAAGCGUGGGGAGCAAACAGGAUUAGAUACCCUGGUAGUCCACGCUGUAAACGAUGGAUACUAGGUGUGCGGNGACUGACCCCCUGCGUGCCGCAGUUAACACAAUAAGUAU
rnacentral:rRNA from 1 species